rnacentral:other from 1 species
AGGCCCCUGUCGUGAGCGUGAUCGACCGGCGAGUUUGAGCCAACAGUGAGAGAACGGGAUCUCUUCCUGGCUGCGGUGAGCAUCCCCGGGGGUAUUCGGGGAAGCCUGAAGCGGCCAAACAGGGAACCCACCUGGUGAAAGCCAGGUUCAACUCCAUGGUCGACACGGCACAGGCAGGGGCGCU